rnacentral:rRNA from 1 species
UACGAAGGGGGCUAGCGUUGUUCGGAUUUACUGGGCGUAAAGCGCACGUAGGCGGAUUGUUAAGUCGGGGGUGAAAUCCUGGAGCUCAACUCCAGAAUUGCCUUCGAUACUGGCUUUCUAGAGGCUGGAAGAGGUUAGUGGAAUUCCCAGUGUAGAGGUGAAAUUCGUAGAUAUUGGGAAGAACACCAGUGGCGAAGGCGGCUCACUGGACUGGUAUUGACGCUGAGGUGCGAAAGCGUGGGGAGCAAACAGG